rnacentral:lncRNA from 1 species
AGAGAGCUUUGAAGCCGGAAUUUUCAAAUUCUCCGACUGGUAUGACCUGCCAAGGACUGAUGAUCAGGUUUAGAAAGUAUGAAAAUGCAAAAUUUUCAUGCUGGAGAAGUGAGGAAAGCGACGGGUAGAUAUAAUUGAACAUUGACUUCGUUUGGAACAAAUUUUACACUAAUUAUAGUAAUUUGUAAGCUGUCAUUCAUUGCCUAUUGUUUGAUUUCCUCAUCUAGCUUCUUGGUAUUGGUGGGAAUGAUCGGCUUUUGGGUGCACACAAUGAUACUGUCACAGUUAAGAUUAUUCAGUUCAUUGGGCACAAACACACUGGAUGCAACAAACCACAGCUACUUAAGGAGAUUAUUGUUGCA